rnacentral:rRNA from 1 species
UACGUAGGGAGCGAGCGUUGUCCGGAUUUAUUGGGCGUAAAGAGCUCGUAGGCGGUUUGGUAAGUCGGGUGUGAAAGCUCCGGGCUCAACUCGGAGAGGUCACUCGAUACUGCCAUGACUGGAGUCCGGUAGGGGGGUGUGGAAUUCCCAGUGUAGCGGUGAAAUGCGCAGAUAUUGGGAGGAACACCAAUGGCGAAGGCAGCACCCUGGGCCGGUACUGACGCUGAGACGCGAAAGCGUGGGGAGCGAACAGG